rnacentral:rRNA from 1 species
UAUCUCUGUAGAGUCUGCAUAUCAAUAAGCGGAGGAAAAGAAACUAACUAGGAUUCCCUUAGUAACGGCGAGUGAAGCGGGAAGAGCUCAAAUUUGAAAUCUUCAAGGUUUUACCUUGACGAAUUGUAGUUUAAAGAAGUGUUUUCUGUUGGAUGUUUUGGUAAAAGUUCUUUGGAAUAGGACAUCAUAGAGGGUGAGAAUCCCGUAUUUGACCAUUACUUUCCAGCUUUGUGAUACACUUUCAAAGAGUCGGAUUGUUUGGGAAUGCAGUCCAAAAUGGGUGGUAAAUCUCAUCUAAAGCUAAAUAUUGGCGAGAGACCGAUAGCGAACAAGUACCGUGAGGGAAAGAUGAAAAGAACUUUGAAAAGAGAGUUAAACAGUACGUGAAAUUGUCAAAAGGGAAGCGUUUGACACCAGUGUUGUUUUCUCGAAAAUCAAUUAAAAAAGGCAGGAUUUUGUGUUGUAUUGACUUUAUCAGCUUUCUGCACUCUUUUCUUGUCUUUUUUUAAUGCACUUUUCGUUUAACAAGUCAACAUCAAUUUCUUUUGUUGUAAAAGGGUCAUUGGAAGGUGGCUUUCUUUUCGGAGAAAGUGUUUAUAGCCUUUGGCCUCUGCAAUCGGAGAGAUUGAGGUCUGCAGCGUAGAUCCUUCGGGGUUAGAUACAUUUGUGCUAAGUUAUAGCCUUUCAUAGACAACUUGUUGACUAUGAUCAGUCAUGUAGCUUACUCGCUUAUGCUAUUUUACCUACGCUUAGGAUGUUGAUAGUCACAGCGUGUAC